AUUGAACGCUGGCGGCAGGCCUAACACAUGCAAGUCGAGCGAGCGGCGGACGGGUGAGUAAUGUAUGGGGACUGCCGGUAAGAGGGGAAUAACUACUGGAAACGGUGGCGAAUACCGCAUAUUGUGGGAUAACCCAUAUGGGAUUAGCUAGUAGGUAGGGUAAUGGCUUACGUAGGCGACGAUCCCUAGCUGGUCUGAGAGGAUGAUCAGCCACACUGGGACUGAGACACGGCCCAGACUCCUACGGAGGCAGCAGUGGGGAAUAUUGCACAAUGGGCGCAAGCCUGAUGCAGCCAUGCCGCGUGUAUGAAGAAGGCCCUAGGGUUGUAAAGUACUUUCAGUCGGGAGGCGUUACCGACAGAAGAAGCACCGGCUAACUCCGUGCCAGCAGCCGCGGUAAUAC
rnacentral:rRNA from 1 species